AGUGAACGCUGGCGGUAGGCCUAACACAUGCAAGUCGAACGGCAGCACAGUAAGAGCUUGCUCUUACGUGUGUCGCGUGGCGGACGGGUGAGUAAUACAUCGGAAUCUACUUUUUCGUGGGUGAUAACGUAGGGAAACUUACGCUAAUACCGCAUACGACCUACUGGUGAAAGCAGGCGAUCUUCGGACCUUGCGCUAUUGAAUGAGCCGAUGUCGGAUUAGCUAGUUGGCGGGGUAAAGGCCCACCACGGCGACGAUCCGUAGCUGGUCAGAGAGGAUGAUCAGCGAUACUGGAAGAGAGACACGGGCCAGACUGCUACGGGAGGAAGCAGUGGAGAAUAGUGGAAAAUGGGAGCAAGGAUGAUUCAGCAAUACCGGGUGGGUGGAGAAGGCCUUGGGGUGGUAAAGCUCUUGUGUUGGGAGUGAAAAGGAGCAGGUUCACACGACGCUGUUGAGACGGUACCGAGAGAAUAAGCAGCGGAUAACUUCG
rnacentral:rRNA from 1 species